GACGAACGCUGGCGGCGGGCUUAACACAUGCAAGUCGAACGGAAAGGCCCUGCUUGUGUGGGGUGCUCGGGUGGCGAACGGGUGAGUAACACGUGAGUAACCUGCCCUUGACUUUGGGAUAACUUCAGGAAACUGGGGCUAAUACCGGAUAGGAGCUCCUGCUGCAUGGUGGGGGUUGGAAAGUUUCGGCGGUUGGGGAUGGACUCGCGGCUUAUCAGCUUGUUGGUGGGGUAGUGGCUUACCAAGGCUUUGACGGGUAGCCGGCCUGAGAGGGUGACCGGCCACAUUGGGACUGAGAUACGGCCCAGACUCCUACGGGAGGCAGCAGUGGGGAAUAUUGCACAAUGGGCGGAAGCCGGAUGCAGCAACGCCGCGUGCGGGAUGACGGCCUUCGGGUUGUAAAACGCUUUCGCCUGUGACGAAGCGUGAGUGACGGUAAUCGGUAAAGAAGCACCGGCUAACUACGUG
rnacentral:rRNA from 1 species